rnacentral:misc_RNA from 1 species
CAGUAGGAAUAAAGUCUUGAAAAAGAAUCAUCAGGGACUCGUGUCAGCAGGGUAUGGAACUUGAUUGGGAUUAAAAAAAGAUGAUGGUGGGUUUUUCGAUAGAAUGGUGGCUGCGAUCAAGUUAGUGGACGAAAGUAUUCUGACUGCUUUUAUGCAAAAAGUAAGAGCUGAAGCCAUAAUCAAGCAUGAUGACCGACUUGCUGCAUAUGUGCCCAAGAAAAGCAGGGGCCAUAGACAACGCUUAGACAUAAAACCACAUUCUCAUUCAUCUUUAUUUCUUCAUGUGAAGUCUUCUAGAAGCAUGAACGAGAACAAGAAAAGGGUUAGUGGCAAGUGAUGCUUUCGAAGUGGUAACAGUCAUGAAGAUGAACAUAGGAAAAAGAAAUUGCUGAAGAGACCAAGGCCUGACAGAAUCAAUUUUGCAAAUUUUGGUUUGGAGACACCUACUGACAUGCCUGAGGAAUGGUGGCAUAAAAUUCAAGCAAAAGGAGGCAUUGAUGUAAAGUUGGUGAUAAUGAAACAGAUGUUUGCCAGUGAUUUGAGUACUCACCACGAUUGCUUCUCAAUCCCUUUUAAGCAGAUAAGAGAUUUCAGUUUUCUUACAGAGGAUGAGAAGAGAAAGUUAAAGGAGCCCAAGGAGAAAAUGCCAGUUACACUCAUGGAACCUUGUGGUUCAGAGUCUAAGAUGUGGCUAAGGCAAUGGAAUUUGAAAAGUAGCAGUACCUAUGUGUUGACAUCUAGUUGGAAGAAAGUCAUAGAGAGGAAUCAUAAGGGAAGUUCAAACAAAACGACAUGGUGCAGCUGUGGUCUUUUAGGCACAAUGGAGAUCUCUAGUUGGCACUGUUUAAGGUUGAGGAGCUGUAGUGGCAAUAAAGGGGAGAAUGGCGAUGGUGCACAAGUCAUAGUAAUAUGUUGGACCUGGAACUACAAUCAUAAUUUGCUAGUUUAAUUAGAGUUGGAGUGAUGUAUUCAUAGUACACAAUUAUUUCUUUUGUCUUCUUCCUUGCUAGUUAUAUUAAAUUUCUGCAACUAAACAUCUUUGAUGUAAUUGAUAUGCUACUAUAUUUC